AGCUCCAAUAGCGUAUAUUUAAGUUGUUGCAGUUAAAAAGCUCGUAGUUGGAUUUCGGGCGCGGCCGCGCGGUCUGCCUCUGGUAUGCACUGCGUCGGGCGCGCCUUUCUGCUGGGGACGCGUUCUGGGCUUCACUGUCCGGGGCGCGGGCUCAGCGAAGUGACCUUGAGCAAACAAGAGUGUUCAAAGCAAGCCUACGCUCUGAAUUUUUUAGCAUGGAAUCACACGAUAGGACUCUGGCCUAUCUUGUUGGUCUGUGGGACCGGAGUAAUGAUUAAGAGGGACAGUCGGGGGCAUUCGUAUUUCAUUGUCAGAGGUGAAAUUCUUGGAUUUAUGAAAGACGAACAUCUGCGAAAGCAUUUGCCAAGGAUGUUUUCA
rnacentral:rRNA from 1 species